rnacentral:piRNA from 1 species
UGCCAAGAUGUGGGGUCCUUAGUUACC